UGGGGGCUCGUCUAACGGUAGGACAGCGGACUCUGAAUCCGUAUGUGGGGGUUCGAAUCCUCCGCCCCCAGCCA
rnacentral:tRNA from 2 species